ACGGCUCAGUAACACGUAAGCAAUCUGCCCUGUAAUCGGGAACAACCGGGCCAACGCCCGGCUAAUGCCGGAUAUCGUGGCGAGUCCCCUGACUCGUUGACGAAAGAUUUAUCGUUACAGGAUGAGCUUGCGUCUGAUUAGCUAGUUGGCGGGGUAAAGGCCCACCAAGGCGACGAUCAGUAGCCGGCCUGAGAGGGUGAUCGGCCACAUUGGGACUGAGAUACGGCCCAGACUCCUACGGGAGGCAGCAGUAGGGAAUAUUGCGCAAUGGGGGAAACCCUGACGCAGCAACUCCACGUGUGGGAUGAAGCAUUUCGGUGUGUAAACCACUGUCGAGAGGGAAUAAUGUUUCGCUUCGGCGGAAUUGAAUGUACCUCUAAAGGAAGCACCGGCAAACUUCGUGCCAGCAGCCGCCGGUAAUAC
rnacentral:rRNA from 1 species